AAAAGGGAAAGUAACUAACUAGAGUGAUUGUAAUUGUACUCGUUCGAAAAAGAUUGAAGAACCAAUAAUUCACAACAAAGAAAAGACCACCUCCAUUUGUUGAUUAGGUUUUUAUUCUUAAAAUCUCACUUCAAAUUAACACCUUUAGAACCUGCCGAACGAUUUCGUAGUUUUCUUAGAAUGAGAUCGCCAUUGCGCAAUAAAUGUAUUACCA
rnacentral:misc_RNA from 1 species